GUUUAUGGUCAUAUCACCCAGAACAUCUCAAUCUCAUAUGAUCUCAGAAGCUAAGCAGGAUUGAGCCUGAUUAGUACUUGGAUGGGAGAGAGAAUGAAUUUGUACAUA
rnacentral:rRNA from 1 species